rnacentral:tRNA from 1 species
CGCCCUAUCGUGCGCUUUGGAAGGGCACCAAUAUCGCCUCCGAAGCGAAGGGUCGCGCGUUCGAAUCGCGCCGGGACCACCA